UUGGUUGUUUUUGUGCCUCAUUAUGCUAUAGCCCAGCGGGUACCUGGGAGGCUGGCCAGGUCCCUCUCUAAUUGCAGGAUGCUGGCAAGUGAGCCCAGGCAGGCACCUGUGCCAGUCCCUGAACGGCACUGGGUUCCAGGCAGAGAGAGCUUGCCCUCCCUGACUCUCCUACCAAUGCUCCAGCUCUAGCUUCCAUCUGACUGCAAAGCAACCUGGUCUCACACCAGCCACUUCUGCUGCUCAAUGCCAUCUCCUUCCGGCUGUUCCUGCUGCUUCAAAGAGUGGGGAGUAGAGAGAAGAGAAGCGAGGUGCGAACAAUAGCCAACUUGCCUAAAACUCUGAUGCUGGAGUUAAUAAAAAGAAAUGAACCCAUUCA
ensembl:lncRNA novel transcript